CUGCUCAGCUUCCCAAAGUAAUGGGAAUACAGGAAACAAAGACAAGUGAAGCAGCAAACUUGCCGAACAAUCUCUGCCACACCAUAUGCACUUCAAAAGACCAACCACAGUGAUUAAAGGGAUGAAAAAGAUGACCUGCUUGAAAACUCUAAAGAACCCAGUAUUAUUUGAAAGAAGAGGAAGCUGAAUGCCCUCUGUCCUUCUCUGGAAUAAGAACUAACCUGAACAACAGUAACAACAAUACAAACAGCUAUGAAGAUUAUGUAUAGCUGGAGGCUACAAGCAGGUAAGGUGUGAAGGGAUAUAAAAAUUAAAAUAACCUAUUUAUUAUUUUUAUUUUCAAAAAUCAAUUUAUUUAGUGAGUUUGUGUUAUUAAAUGAUGAAAAAAAUUACAAUGAAGGGCUAAGGGCUUUCUACUUAGCUUUAGUUUAAUAGUUUCAGUUUUCAUUUUCAAAUGAAGUGUUAGUACUUCAUUUAAUCUAUAACAACCAUGGAAUGUGGUAUCAUUAACAUCAGUUGAAAAAGUAAACUAAGUUUAAUUCAUGGUAAUUCAUGAGACGAAUUCAUUGACCAGAGGAGGUCAAAGAGUCAUGGUUCUUAAAAUGAAUGUUGUAGUCCUCUGCCUUUCGAUAACCUUACUAUGAUCAUUUUUAUGUAAGAGGCAACUAAGCCGUAAGUGGGUAAAAAGCAUAGAUUUGCUCAAUUUCUAACCUGUUUUUUUCAUGAUACAUGCAUCAUCCUAAACUAUUCCUCAAAUUUAUCAUUUAAUCUCUGCUUUAACAAUUUAGUGAGCUGAGGAAAUUAUAAUACCAUUUAAAAAUAGCAUAAUCAUUAGAAAUAUCUUCUUUAUGUUGACCUAAAAUUAACUUCCCUCCUAUCCCUGGUGAUGCCACUCAUAUUGCCAAAACUAGAUGGUGACCAAACCUGUCAGAUUGUUUUUUAAAGAUGCUGAGGAGCAGAUUUCUCAUGGGGAGCACCUUCUGAUACAUUUUAAUACGUUUCUUACAGGCUAGUCAAAUAAAGCAGUGGGAGUGGAAAAGGAUCAAAGAAAUCUGUAACCGGUUAUGAUCAAUUAGUUGUAAACACCACUGCACGAGGACCAGCCCAAAGCUGCUACUUAACCAAGUGACUUUCUGAUUGCUCAACUGUGUUUCCACUGAGAAAAAUGCAUUGAAAUGAAACAUCUCAUUUCCAGUACUGUCCUGAGGCAAAAAGAGACAAUGAUACGUAUCUCCAAUUUAGACUGGAUGAAACUAGCCACAUUUCAAAUAAAGAAGUCACAUUGUAAGUGUAAAACGACGUUAACCUUAAAGGAGACAUUUCCGCCCUGUAUAACUAUGCACAGCUUCAACUAAUGGUAUAUGAACUGUGUCUACAAACCAAAGGACAUUUUUCUAAAGAAACUUUAAAUAUAGAAAAUUAACUCAAACCUUACCUUAGAGCUUCCUCCUCUAUUGUCUUUUCCUGUAGUGGUAGUCUCUGUGGCACUUACAGGUGGUAAACAAAUAAAAAAGUGUCUUAUUGAAUUAACUUGAUUGCCAUAUUGAUCAGUUUUAUGUGUUUUUAUUCUUAAGCAUAACAAUAAAAGAAAAUGAUUAAGCAAUGUUUUGCUUAAAAAAAAAAGAUUUCAUGGCAGAGAAGCAAUUGAGUCCAGUUAAGAGACAGUUAAGAACAUUUUUCAGUUUGGAGCUUUUGUUUUGUGAUGAGAACUUUGCCAGUUAGUCACAAAUGAACUUGAGCACAUUUUCUUGAGCGUGAUGGCUGAACAGAUGAGCCACACACACUUUAUAGUGAGUUUUACUGCACUGAGUCUUUACCUACUAUUCCUAGUAGUUACACAUAUUAAAUUAUUAAUAACUGAUCAACAUUUUAAAAGAAGGUUUCAAAAGAAAUGUAAUUAGAUUUUAUAGUUGAGUUUUAGCUAAUGUGUGAUUCCACAAAAGUUCAGGUGCCGAGAUUACAUUUCAAUUUAUACUUGCCAUCUGCUAGAAUAUUCCCCUCUGUCUACAGCAUCCUGACCAGAUCUCCAAAUUUUGAAAUCUGUUUUCAUUAUUCAAGACUCAUUGUACAUUUCAAAUACCAGGUUGAUUUCUUAGUCUCCAUGUUCUCCAUGUCUGCUUAUGACUUUACAGAAAAAAUGUUAUUUACUAUGCAUAUUAAUAUUGAGAUUCUUUACUAUGCUGUAUCUUUUUUUUUUUUUUUUUUUUUUUGAGAUGGAGUCUCACUAUGUUGCCCAGGCUGGAGUGCAGUGGCGCCAUCUCGGCUCACUGCAAGCUUCGCCUCCUGGGUUCAUGCCAUUCUCCUACCUCAGCCUCCUGAGUAGCUGGGAUUCUAAUCUCCGCCACCACGCCUGGCCAAUUUUUUGUAUUUUUAGUAGAGACAGGGUUUCACUUUGUUAGCCAGGAUGGGAGCUCGUAAUCCGCCCACCUCGGCCUCCCAAAGCUGGGAUUACAGGCGUGAGCCACUGUGCCUGGCCUACUAUGCUGUAUUCUUAUAGUUAACAGCAUGCUCUUUGAUAAUAUCUCAUUGGAAAUAUUUAUGCUCUGAAACAUUAUUUUUUGAAUUGUUAAAUAUAAAUCAUUUAUACAGCAAUACUUUAUGGGAGAAGCAUAUGCUGAAUUUUAAUGGUGUUUACUUUGCAAUCCAAAAUUGUGAAUACAUACAUGUAAAACUAUGAAAUUGCUAAUUAAAUAUUUCCAUCUAUC
rnacentral:lncRNA from 1 species